AUUGAACGCUGGCGGCAGGCCUAACACAUGCAAGUCGAACGGUAGCACAGAGGAGCUUGCUCCUUGGGUGACGAGUGGCGGACGGGUGAGUAAUGUCUGGGAAACUGCCCGAUGGAGGGGGAUAACUACUGGAAACGGUAGCUAAUACCGCAUAACGUCGCAAGACCAAAGAGGGGGGCCUUCGGGCCUCUUGCCAUCGGAUGUGCCCAGAUGGGAUUAGCUAGUAGGUGGGGUAACGGCUCACCUAGGCGACGAUCCCUAGCUGGUCUGAGAGGAUGACCAGCCACACUGGAACUGAGACACGGUCCAGACUCCUACGGGAGGCAGCAGUGGGGAAUAUUGCACAAUGGGCGCAAGCCUGAUGCAGCCAUGCCGCGUGUAUGAAGAAGGCCUUCGGGUUGUAAAGUACUUUCAGCGAGGAGGAAGGCAUUAAGGUUAAUAACCUUAGUGAUUGACGUUACUCGCAGAAGAAGCACCGGCUAACUCCGUGCCAGCAGCCGCGGUAAAAGGG
rnacentral:rRNA from 1 species